rnacentral:rRNA from 1 species
AGUGAACGCUGGCGGUAGGCCUAACACAUGCAAGUCGAACGGCAGCACAGUAAGAGCUUGCUCUUACGGGUGGCGAGUGGCGGACGGGUGAGGAAUACAUCGGAAUCUACUUUUUCGUGGGGGAUAACGUAGGGAAACUUACGCUAAUACCGCAUACUACCUACGGGUGAAAGCAUGGGAUCUUCGGACCUUGCGCGAUUGAAUGAGCCGAUGUCGGAUUAGCUAGUUGGCGGGGUAAAGGCCCACCAAGGCGACGAUCCGUAGCUGGUCUGAGAGGAUGAGCAGCCACACUGGAACUGAGAAACGGUCCAGACUACUACGGGAGGCAGCAGUGGGGAAUAUUGGACAAUGGGCGAAAGCCUGAUCCAGCCAUACCGAGUGGGUGAAGAAGGCCUUCGGGUUGUAAAGACCUUUUGUUGGGAAAGAAAAGCAGCAGGUUAAUACCCCGCUGUUCUGACGGUACCCAAAGAAUAAGCACCGGCUAACUUCGUG